rnacentral:rRNA from 1 species
UACAUGGGGUGCAAACGUUGCUCGGAAUUAUUGGGCGUAAAGCGCGCGUAGGCGGUUACUUAAGUCGGAUGUGAAAGCCCUCGGCUUAACUGAGGAAGUGCACCCGAAACUGAGUAGCUAGAGUACGAAAGAGGGUCGCGGAAUUCCCGGUGUAGAAGUGAAAUUCGUAGAUAUCGGGAGGAACACCGGUGGCGAAGGCGGCGACCUGGGUCGAGACUGACGCUGAGGCGCGAAAGCGUGGGGAGCAAACAGG